UAGGGAAUCUUCCGCAAUGGACGCAAGUCUGACGGAGCAACGCCGCGUGAGUGAAGAAGGAUUUCGGUUCGUAAAACUCUGUUGUUAGAGAAGAACAGCGCAUAGAGUAACUGUUAUGCGUGUGACGGUAUCUAACCAGAAAGCCACGGCUAACUACGUGCCAGCAGCCGCGGUAAUACGUAGGUGGCAAGCGUUGUCCGGAUUUAUUGGGCGUAAAGCGAGCGCAGGCGGUCAAUUAAGUCUGAUGUGAAAGCCCCCGGCUCAACCGGGGAGGGUCAUUGGAAACUGGUUGACUUGAGUGCAGAAGAGGAGAGUGGAAUUCCAUGUGUAGCGGUGAAAUGCGUAGAUAUAUGGAGGAACACCAGUGGCGAAGGCGACUCUCUGGUCUGUAACUGACGCUGAGGCUCGAAAGCGUGGGUAGCCAACAGG
rnacentral:rRNA from 1 species